AUACGUAGGGACCAAGCGUUGUCCGGAAUCAUUGGGCGUAAAGCGCACGUAGGCGGUCCGUUAAGUCGGAUGCGAAAUCCCAGGGCUCAACCCUGGAACUGCAUCCGAUACUGGCGGACUUGAGGAAGGUAGAGGAGAGUGGAAUUCCCGGUGUAGCGGUGGAAUGCGCAGAUAUCGGGAGGAACACCAGUUGCGAAGGCGGCUCUCUGGGCCUUUCCUGACGCUGAGGUGCGAAAGCGUGGGUAGCCAACAGGAUUAGAUACCCUGGUAGUCCACGCCGUAAACGAUGGGUACUAGAUGUGGGGAUUGUUCAUGGUCUCUGUGUCGAAGCUAACGCGUUAAGUACCCCGCCUGGGGACUACGGCCGCAAGGCUAAAAACUCAAAGGAAUUGACGGGGCCCGCACAAGCGGCGGAGCAUGUGGCUUAAUUCGAAGCAACGCGAAGAACCUUACCUGGGCUUGACAUAUACCUUACAGCUAUAGAGAUAUAGCGGAUUCGUUC
rnacentral:rRNA from 1 species